UUGACUGAGGAAUUACUGUCUUACUCCUGUGCUUGUCAGGAGUCUGUGACACGAAUGUAAACUUUCCCAACUGUGAUUUCAGAUGCUUAAGAGGAAGAAAUGUUUUUGAGACAGACUCAUUCCAGAAAACCACCCUUCACCAUUGCUUAUGCUGCAUAAUGGCUCAGCUAGCUGUAACUUUGGUGCUCCGGUAACAGGUUUCAUUUAAAAAACGGAUAAAAUGCUUCAUCAGACUCAGCAGCGAGCAGAUGAGGAUGAGAACCCAUCACUUCGCAGUGUGGUGGGAUCAGACAGGGCUUCCCAGCCACAGAAAAGCAAGCAGAGCAAAGAGGGAAUUUUAUAGAUGAAACAUCACGAUUGCAGAACACAGAUGUGGACAGAUGUGGGAAAUAUGCCAACCCAACCUUGUGUAGCGCUAGUUUAAAAUAUGCAAUCUCUCUUACUUCAGAAAUUCAGUUGAUUAAACAUGCAGAACUUAUAAUCCAGAU
rnacentral:lncRNA from 1 species